UACGGGGGAGCAAGCGUUGUUCGGAUUUACUGGGCGUAAAGGGCGCGUAGGCGGCCAGCACAAGUCAGUUGUGAAAUCUCCGAGCUUAACUCGGAAAGGUCAACUGAUACUGUGCGGCUAGAGUGCGGAAGGGGCAACUGGAAUUCUUGGUGUAGCGGUGAAAUGCGUAGAUAUCAGGAGGAACACCGAUGGCGAAGGCAGGUCUCUGGGCAUUAACUGACGCUGAGGAGCGAAAGCAUGGGGAGCGAACAGG
rnacentral:rRNA from 1 species